rnacentral:tRNA from 3 species
AAAGAAUUAGUUAAAAAUAACAUAAAUAUGUCAUAUUUAAAUUACUAAUUUAUAGUAUUCUUUU